rnacentral:rRNA from 1 species
CCUACGGGAGGCAGCAGUGGGGGAUUUUGCACAAUGGAGGAAACUCUGAUGCAGCGACACUGCGUGAAGGAUGAAGGUUUUCGGAUCGUAAACUUCUUUUAGCGGGGAGUAAUCUUGAAAGUACCCGCUGAAUAAGGACCGGCUAACUACGUGCCAGCAGCCGCGGUAAUACGUAGGGUUCAAACGUUAUCCGGAAUUAUUGGGCGUAAAGAGUUCGUAGGUGGUUUUGUAAGUUGGGUAUUAAAUCUAUCGGCUCAACCGAUAAACUGUACCGAAUACUGCAAAACUUCGAGGUUUGCAGGGGCAGAUGGAAUUCAUGGUGUAGCAGUGGAAUGCGUAGAUAUCAUGAAGAACACCAAUGGCGAAGGCAGUCUGCUAGGCUUAUCCAGACACUGAGGCACGAAAGCGUGGGUAGCGAACGGGCUUAGAUACCCUAGUAGUC